AAUUAUGUCUUCUCUCAACAAGCUCAUCUGUUCUCUUGGCUCUAACACUUGUAUCUGUCCAUGACCCCCGUAUCUUUAACUCUACUCCAGUCUUCUCUCUGAGCCCAUAUGUAAUUUCCCUGGCAUUUAACCAUCUAUCAGGUAGCUUCACUGGCACAUCAGUUCAACAAGACCAUAACAGAACUGACUGCUGUCUACACAGUCCUCCCCUUCCUCUAUUUUCUAUCCCAGUGGGGCCACUACUAGUCACUCAAGCUGGGGGCCAUUUUAAACUCUGUAUCUUCCUUCACCCUCCACAUCCAGUCAGUCAUAAGGCUUGUUAAUUCUACCUUAAAACUAUCUCUUCAAUCUUUCCACUCUUUUAAUUUCACAGCCACUAUUCUGAUUUAGGCUUCUGCCAUCUCUGGAUUGUUGCCACUGCCUCCUCAUGGAUCUUUCUGACUUUAAUCUAGUUUUUCAUACUGAUCUAGCUUCCAAACCAUGAUUUAGAAUGCAAAUCUGAUCCUAUUGUUUUCUUGCUUAGAUAUCUUCAAUGACUCUCCAUUACCCAUAGUAGUAAUUACCGUAAGGUGUGCCCUAAUUUGCUGCAGUGGAUUAAGAUGUGCCAAGGUUGGCCGUGGCUGGACAGGUGUGUUGCAGCCCAGUGUGCCCGAUGUGUUUUCAUUUUCCAUGUAUAGUAUGAAUGGAAUGGUUAGAAAGGACUGGCUACAAGAUUUGGUCCAAACUCCAGACUCCUGCCAACUUCUCUAGUCCAUCUCUAGCACUAGUCCAUCUUCAUCGCCUCACACUCUAUUGUCUGAUGACUGGCAUUUCCUGUGACGUGCCAGGCUGUUUCAUGUCUGUAUCAUUGCACAGAGGGCAAGCUCUUUCAUCAAUCUGGGGAGAACUUCUCCCUUUCUCUACUUGGCAAACUUCUACACACCUUUUUAAAAUUUAGUUCAACCUUUUCCCUCUUGAGUACACUCCUCUGAGUUUCUAGGCCAUUCCAGCCUUUGUACUUUCAUUGUAACUCAUAAUCUACCUCUAUUAUGGCACCAUCAUGCUUAAGCG
rnacentral:lncRNA from 10 species